UGCCCUAGUAACGGCGAGUGAAGCGGCAACAGCUCAAAUUUGAAAUCUGGCUCUCGGGCCCGAGUUGUAAUUUGUAGAGGAUACUUUUGAUGCGGUGCCUUCCGAGUUCCCUGGAACGGGACGCCAUAGAGGGUGAGAGCCCCGUCUGGUUGGAUGCCAAAUCUCUGUAAAGUUCCUUCGACGAGUCGAGUAGUUUGGGAAUGCUGCUCUAAAUGGGAGGUAUAUGUCUUCUAAAGCUAAAUACCGGCCAGAGACCGAUAGCGCACAAGUAGAGUGAUCGAAAGAUGAAAAGCACUUUGAAAAGAGAGUUAAAAAGUACGUGAAAUUGUUGAAAGGGAAGCGUUUAUGACCAGACUUGGGCUUGGUUAAUCAUCUGGGGUUCUCCCCAGUGCACUUUUCCAGUCCAGGCCAGCAUCAGUUUUCGCCGGGGGAUAAAGACUUCGGGAAUGUGGCUCUCUUCGGGGAGUGUUAUAGCCCGUUGUGUAAUACCCUGGCGGGGACUGAGGUUCGCGCAUCUGCAAGGAUGCUGGCGUAAUGGUCAUCAACGACCCGUCUUGAAACACGGACCAAGGAGUCGUCUUCGUAUGCGAGUGUUCGGGUGUCAAACCCCUACGCGUAAUGAAAGUGAACGCAGGUGAGAGCUUCGGCGCAUCAUCGACCGAUCCUGAUGUUCUCGGAUGGAUUUGAGUAAGAGCAUACGGGGCCGGACCCGAAAGAAGGUGAACUAUGCCUGUAUAGGGUGAAGCCAGAGGAAACUCUGGUGGAGGCUCGCAGCGGUUCUGACGUGCAAAUUCGAUCGUCAAAUUAUGGGCAUG
rnacentral:rRNA from 1 species